UACGUAGGGGGGCUAGCGUUGUCCGGAAUCAUUGGGCGUAAAGAGCGUGUAGGCGGUCCGGUAAGUCCGCUGUGAAAGUCGGGGGCUCAACCCUCGAAUGCCGGUGGAUACUGUCGGGCUAGAGUGCGGAAGAGGCGAGUGGAAUUCCUGGUGUAGCGAUGAAAUGCGUGGAUAUCGAGAAGAACACUUAGGGCGUAGGCAAGACUCUGGACAAAUGCUGACGCUACAUGCACGAAGGCUAGGGGUAGCGAACGGG
rnacentral:rRNA from 1 species